UCCCUAGUGGUCCAGUGGUUAGAUCUUGGUGCUUUCACUGCUGAGGGCCCAGGUUCAAUCCCUGGUCAGGGAA
rnacentral:tRNA from 1 species